rnacentral:tRNA from 1 species
GCGGGUGUGUUGUAGUGGUAACAAAAGACGUUCCCAACGUCUGAUCACCGGUCCGAUUCCGGUCACCCGCU